rnacentral:rRNA from 1 species
GCUCAAAUUUGAAAUCUGGCUUCGGCCCGAGUUGUAAUUUGUAGAGGAUGCUUUUGGUGAGGUGCCUUCUGAGUUCCCUGGAACGGGACGCCAGAGAGGGUGAGAGCCCCGUAUAGUUGGACACCGAGCCUCUGUAAAGCUCCUUCGACGAGUCGAGUAGUUUGGGAAUGCUGCUCAAAAUGGGAGGUAUAUCUCUUCUAAAGCUAAAUACUGGCCAGAGACCGAUAGCGCACAAGUAGAGUGAUCGAAAGAUGAAAAGCACUUUGAAAAGAGGGUUAAAUAGUACGUGAAAUUGUUGAAAGGGAAGCGCUUGUGACCAGACUUGUGCCGGGCUGAUCAUCCAGUGUUCUCACUGGUGCACUCUGCCCGGCUCAGGCCAGCGUCGGUUCUCGCAGGGGGAUAAAAGCGGCGGGAACGUGGCUCCUCCGGGAGUGUUAUAGCCCGCCGCUCAAUACC